rnacentral:rRNA from 1 species
GACGAACGCUGGCGGCGUGCUUAACACAUGCAAGUCGAACGAUGAACCCGGAGCUUGCUCCGGCGGAUUAGUGGCGAACGGGUGAGUAACACGUGAGUAACCUGCCCUUGACUCUGGGAUAACUGCUAGAAAUGGUAGCUAAUACCGGAUACGACCCUCGGUGGCAUCACCAGGGGGUGGAAAGAAUUUCGGUCAAGGAUGGACUCGCGGCCUAUCAGCUAGUUGGUGAGGUAACGGCUCACCAAGGCGACGACGGGUAGCCGGCCUGAGAGGGUGACCGGCCACACGGGGACUGAGACACGGCCCAGACUCCUACGGGAGGCAGCAGUGGGGAAUAUUGCACAAUGGGCGCAAGCCUGAUGCAGCAACGCCGCGUGAGGGAUGACGGCCUUCGGGUUGUAAACCUCUUUUAGUAGGGACGAUAAUGACUGUACCGGGAGAAUAAGCCCCGGCUAACUUCGUGCCAGCCGCCGCAGUAA